GACGAACGCUGGCGGCGUGCCUAACACAUGCAAGUCGAGCGGGGAUUUAAGUGGAAGUUCUUCGGAAUGGAGAUUUAAAUUCUAGCGGCGGACGGGUGAGUAACGCGUGAACAAUCUGUCCCGGACAGGGGGAUAACACUUGGAAACAGGUGCUAAUACCGCAUAAGACCACGGCCUCGCAUGGGGCUGAGGUAAAAGGAGCAAUCCGGUUCGGGGUGAGUUCGCGUCCGAUUAGCUAGUUGGUGAGGUAACGGCCCACCAAGGCGACGAUCGGUAGCCGGCCUGAGAGGGUGAACGGCCACAUUGGAACUGAGAGACGGUCCAAACGCCUACGGGAGGCAGCAGUGGGGAAUAUUGGGCAAUGGGCGAAAGCCUGACCCAGCAACGCCGCGUGAGGGAAGAAGGUUUUCGGAUUGUAAACCUCUGUCCUAUGGGACGAAGGAAGUGACGGUACCAGAGGAGGAAGCCCCGGCUAACUACGUG
rnacentral:rRNA from 1 species